UGGAGCUAAAAGACGCCACCCAUCUGUCUUUCCUCAUAGUGAGAAGAACAGGACAAAAAGGCCUGCAGAUAGCAAUACAAAAUGUUGAUCUUCACUCUCUGCUGCAUCAGCUUGUACAUCACACUGACCUCAGGUUCGACUCCAAGUGACCAAAUAUUCCAGACUCCCUUCGAGAUAUUUAAAACCCCUGGAAAAGCAGCCGAAAUCAGCUGCUCUCACAGUCUUCAAAACUAUGAUCGAAUCUUCUGGUACAAACAAACAGAACAUGAGAUCCAGCUGCUGGGAUAUGUGGUUGGAAGUAGUAGGUUUCCAGAGAAAGGACUGAAUGUGGAGAUAAAAGGGAGUGCAGAUAUAAAACAGACCUGCACUUUAACAGUUAAAGACCUCAGUGUGAGCAGCAGUGCAGUUUAUUUCUGUGCUGCUAGCUACCACAGUGCUGCAUAUCACUGCUCCUCAGUGCAAAAACCUCCUUAAUGUUUGAUAUUUAGGAUCUAACAGCACUGUGCACCUAUUUGAUAAUAAGCUGGAUCUGCUGUGACUCCGCCCACCUAUAGGGUAUUUGUUUCUUUUGCAGAUCUGAGGUUUUUCUGAGAAGGGAGUUUCUGACAACCUCUUCUAUACUAACAGCAAC